rnacentral:rRNA from 1 species
GAGUGACACAGUAGGAUAAGCUAACCGUACUGUUGGUUAUGUACGGCUAAGCAUUGAGGCAGUCUAAAUAGGCAAAUCCGUUUAGACAAUGCUAGGAUGUGAUGGGGAAGCCCUUCGGGGCGAAGUAGCUGAUUUCACACUGUCAAGAAAAGCUUCUAUCGAGUUUAAAGGCGCCCGUACCGUAAACCGACACAGGUGGGUGAGGAGAGUAUCCUAAGGCCAGCGAGAGAACUAUUGUUAAGGAACUCGGCAAAAUGACCCCGUAACUUAGGGAGAAGGGGUGCCUGUCUAUGACAGGCCGCAGAGAAUAGGCCCAAGCGACUGUUUACCAAAAACACAGGUUUCUGCUAAGUCGCAAGACGAUGUAUAGGAGCUGACGCCUGCCCGGUGCUGGAAGGUUAAGGGGAUCUGUUAGAGCAAUCGAAGCAGUGAACUUAAGCCCCAGUAAACGGCGGCCGUAACUAUAACGGUCCUAAGGUAGCGAAAUUCCUUGUCGGGUAAGUUCCGACCCGCACGAAAGGCGUAACGAUUUGGGCACUGUCUCAACAAUAGACUCGGUGAAAUUGUAAUCCCGGUGAAGAUGCCGGGUACCUGCGACAGGACGGAAAGACCCCAUGGAGCUUUACUGUAGCUUGACGUUGGGUCUUGGUACUACAUGUACAGGAUAGGUGGGAGACUAUGAAGCAUGGACGCCAGUCUGUGUGGAGUCAUCCUUGGGAUACCACCCUUGUAGUACUGGGAUCCUAACCAUAGGCCUUGAAUCAGGUCUUGGAACACCGUCAGGUGGGCAGUUUGACUGGGGCGGUCGCCUCCUAAAAAGUAACGGAGGCGCUCAAAGGUUUCCUCAGCACGGUCGGAAAUCGUGCGAAGAGUGUAAAGGCAAAAGGAAGCUUGAUUGCAAGACAUACAGGUCGAGCAAGGACGAAAGUCGGACUUAGUGAUCCGGUGGUACCGCAUGGAAGGGCCAUCGCUCAACGGAUAAAAGCUACCCUGGGGAUAACAGGCUUAUCUCCCACAAGAGUCCACAUCGACGGGGAGGUUUGGCACCUCGAUGUCGGCUCAUCACAUCCUGGGCUGUAGUAGGUCCCAAGGGUUGGGCUGUUCGCCCAUUAAAGUGGUACGCGAGCUGGGUUCAGAACGUCGUGAGACAGUUCGGUCCCUAUCCGUCGCAGGCGUAGGAAAUUUGAGAAGACCUGUCCUUAGUACGAGAGGACCGGGAUGGACGUACCUCUGGUGUACCAGUUGUUCUGCCAAGGGCAUGGCUGGGUAGCUAUGUACGGAAUGGAUAAGCGCUGAAAGCAUCUAAGCGCGAAGCCAACCUCAAGAUAAGAUUUCCCACCGUAAGGGUAAGACCCCAGGAAGACUACCUGGUUGAUAGGUCGAAGGUGUAAGUGCAGUAAUGUAUUUAGCUUAUCGAUACUAAUAGGUCGAGGACUUGACCU